GGAAACUUGAAAAUAACAGAUCUGGUGAGCUAGACGACCUUGGACAAGGUGCCCAAACCGAGCCUCAGUAAUCCCAUCUAUAAAAUGGGGGUCAUGUCUACCAUCUAAGAGUUCUAUGAGGAUUCAAUGAACCAGUGUUCUACAACUGGGCGGUUGACUGCAUCCCGGAUCCACGAGAUCUGCUGGGCAGAAACCGAGGGAGCCAGCUGUCAUCGCCCGCAGCUGAGGCCUGAGAAGGCGCACCCUGCGUGCUCGCCGCGUACCCCCUUGUCUGGGAGGCCGCUAUCUGCACCCUGCACCUUGACAUCAACCUCUGCAUCCGCGUCUCCCCCCGC